AAAGAUUAAGCUAGAAAGAGCUUACGGUGGAUGCCUAGGUAUCCAGAGUCGAAGAAGGACGUGACCGGCUGCGAAAAGCCGCGGGGAGCUGCUAAAUAAGCGUAGAUCCGCGGAUAUCCGAAUGGGGCAACCCGCCAGCGAGAAGAGCUGGCAUCAUAUAUUGAAAGAAGUAGGUAUAUGAGGGCAAGCAGGGGAACUGAAACAUCUUAGUACCCUGAGGAGAAGAAAUCAAAAGAGAUUCCCUAAGUAGCGGCGAGCGAAAGGGGAGGAGUCCAAACACAUACAGUGUAAGACUGCAGUUGUUGCUGUAUGUGGGUGAGGGAUAAUAAAGGGAAGAGCUGCAGAGCUUCCAGAGGUUAAAAAGAGAGCCUAGCCGAAGAGACUGGGAAGUCUAGCCAUAGGAGGUAAAAGCCCUGUAGGCAAAAGGCAAUCAACCUGAUAUUAUCCGGAGUAUCACGGGCCACGAGGAAUCCUGUGAGAAGAAGGGAGGACCACCUUCCAAGGCUAAAUACUACUGGAUGACCGAUAGUGAACAAGUACCGUGAGGGAAAGGUGAAAAGAACCCCGGGAGGGGAGUGAAAUAGAAACUGAAACCGUAAGCUUACAACAAGUAGGAGGACUAUUAGAAAGUCUGACUGCGUACUUUUUGUAUCACGGACCGGCGAGUUAUUGACCGUAGCGGAAGGUUAAGCCAGAAAGGUGAAGCCAGAGCGAAAGCGAGUCUUAAGAGGGCGGGAGUUAUGGUUAAUAGACCCGAAACCGAGUGAACUAUCCAUGGCCAGGAUGAAGCGGGUGUAAGAGCCUGUGGAGGUCCGAACCCACUUAUGUUGAAAAAUGAGGGGAUGAGCUGUGGAUAGGGGUGAAAGGCCAAUCGAACUCGGAGAUAGCUGGUUCUCCUCGAAAUAGCUUUAGGGCUAGCCUCAGAGUAAGGUAGAUGGUUGUAGAGCACUGAUUGGACAAGGGGCCCAACAAGGUUACCAAAUCCAUUCAAACUCCGAAUGCCAUUUAAAGAUCUCUGGGAGUCAGACUGUGGGGGAUAAGCUUCACAGUCAAGAGGGAAAGAGCCCAGACCACCAGAUAAGGUCCCAAAGUAUAUGCUAAGUGGAAAAGGAAGUGAGAUCGCACAGACAACCAGGAUGUUGGCUUAGAAGCAGCCAUUCAUUUAAAGAGUGCGUAAUAGCUCACUGGUCAAGCGGUUUUGCGCCGAAAAUGUAACGGGGCUAAAGCAUAUCACCGAAGCUGUGGAUUCUGGAGGUUGGAGGUUAGAGGUUGGAAGUUAGUUAAAGAUGGUGAAAAAAUGAUAAAAAGCUAUAAAGAUUUAAAAGUAUACAAAAAAAGUUAUAGCCUGGCAUUAGAAAUACAUCAACUAACUCAACAUCUACCAGAGACUGAGAGAUAUGAAUUAGGAAGUCAAAUGAGAAGAGCAGCAAUUUCAAUACCUUUUAGAGGUUAGAAGUUAGAGGUUGGAAGUUAGAAAAACCAACUUAAACUUCAAUUUCUAAAAAAGCUGAAAAACUUCUUGAAAGAUAUGAUAUAUUGGGAAGACAACUUAACACCAUGAUAGAUAAAUGGUUUUGAACUUUCCAACUUCCAAUUUCUAAUCUCCAACUUCUAGAGUGGUAGAGGAGCAUUGUGUACGGGAAGAAGCUGUACCGGAAGGAGCAGUGGACUGUACAGAAGAGAGAAUGCCGGUAUGAGUAACGAAAAAAGGAGUGAGAAUCUCCUUCGCCGAAAGUCUAAGGAUUCCUGAGGAAGGUUCGUCCGCUCAGGGUUAGCCGGGACCUAAGCCGAGGCCGAAAGGCGUAGGUGAUGGAUAAUCGGUAGAGAUUCCGAUGCUGCUUUAAAUUGCUGGAGCGAAGUGGUGACGCGGUAAAGAGAGUGGAGCAUGCGACUGGAGGAGCAUGUAUAAGCUAAAGAGGUAGGAUAAGGAGGGAAAUCCCUUUAUCCGUUAAUACCUUUUAGUGAUAUGGAGCCAAGAGGGGUGAAGCCACAGGAUAAAUCGCCAAGAAAACCCACUAGUGAGAUUUAAAGCACCCGUACCGCAAACCGACACAGGUAGACGGGAAGAGAAUUCUAAGGCGCGCGAGAGAACCCUUGUUAAGGAACUCGGCAAAAUGACCCCGUAACUUCGGGAGAAGGGGUACCCAUUAGCAUUAGCUAGUGGGUCGCAGUGAAAAGAUCCAAGCGACUGUUUAGCAAAAACACAGGUCUCUGCUAAGUCGUAAGACGAAGUAUAGGGGCUGACGCCUGCCCGGUGCUGGAAGGUCAAGGAGAAGGCUUAGUGCUAGCCACGAAGGUCUGAACCUAAGCCCCAGUAAACGGCGGCCGUAACUAUAACGGUCCUAAGGUAGCGAAAUUCCUUGUCGGGUAAGUUCCGACCUGCACGAAUGGCGUAACGACUUGGAUGCUGUCUCAACAAGGGACUCGGUGAAAUUAAAAUGCCUGUGAAGAUGCAGGCUACCUGCGACAGGACGGAAAGACCCCGUGGAGCUUUACUGCAGCCUGAUAUUGGGUUUUGGUGUAGAAUGUACAGGAUAGGUGGGAGACAAAGAAGCUGGCAUGCUAAUGUCAGUGGAGUCGCUGGUGGGAUACCACCCUUUCUACAGCGGGAUUCUAACUGGAGGCCAUAAACUGGUCACAGGACAUUGUCAGGCGGGCAGUUUGACUGGGGCGGUCGCCUCCCAAAAAGUAACGGAGGCGCUCAAAGGUUCCCUCAGUGCGGAUGGAAAUCGCACGGAGAGUGUAAAGGCAGAAGGGAGCUUAACUGAGAGACAAACAGGUCGAUCAGAUACGAAAGUAGGACUUAGUGAUCCGGCGGUAUAGAGUGGAAUUGCCGUCGCUCAACGGAUAAAAGUUACCCCGGGGAUAACAGGCUUAUCUCCCCCAAGAGUUCACAUCGACGGGGAGGUUUGGCACCUCGAUGUCGGCUCAUCGCAUCCUGGAGCUGAAGCAGGUUCCAAGGGUUGGGCUGUUCGCCCAUUAAAGCGGUACGCGAGCUGGGUUCAGAACGUCGUGAGACAGUUCGGUCCCUAUCCGUCGCAGGCGCAGGAUACUUGAGGAGAGCUGUCCCCAGUACGAGAGGACCGGGAUGGACACACCGAUGGUGUACCAGUUGUUCCGCCAGGAGCACAGCUGGGUAGCUAAGUGUGGCAAAGAUAAGCGCUGAAAGCAUCUAAGCGUGAAACAGACUCCAAGAUAAGGUAUCCCACUGUCUGGAGGUUAGAGGUUAGAAGUUAGAUGGUUGGGAAGAUAAUUAGAUUAAAAGUUGAGGCAUCCAACUAUUAAUUUCCAGCUUCCAAUCUCCAGACAGGUAAGAUCCCUUAAAGAAGAUAAGGUAGAUAGGCCGGAGGUGGAAGUGCAGCAAUGUAUUAAGCUGACCGGUACUAAUAGAUCGAGGGCUUAAUCAUAUAUACUUUCUGUGUGUAUUUUUGAAUGUGUUUAAAAUUUAAUAUUUCCGGUGGUAAUUGCGGAGGGGAAACACUUGUAUCCGACGGACAAGGAAGUCCUAGUGCCCUGAGGGGCACAGGAUGUGCCGGGUCCGAAGGGCCCAUUUCGAACACAAAAGUUAAGUCCUCAAGCGCCUAUGGUACUGCACUGGUAACGGUGUGGGAGAGUAGGUCACUGCCGGAUCCUUUUUU
rnacentral:rRNA from 1 species